UACAGAGGUCUCAAGCGUUGUUCGGAUUCAUUGGGCGUAAAGGGCGCGUAGGCUGCGGGGCAAGUCGGGUGUGAAAUCUCAGAGCUCAACUCUGAAACUGCACUCGAUACUGCUUUGCUCGAGGACUGGAGAGGAGAUUGGAAUUCACGGUGUAGCAGUGAAAUGCGUAGAUAUCGUGAGGAAGACCAGUGGCGAAGGCGGAUCUCUGGACAGUUCCGUGACGCUGAGGCGCGAAGGCCAGGGGAGCAAACGGGG
rnacentral:rRNA from 1 species